ensembl:lncRNA
UCAUGUUGCUGUGUGUUUCUCGGUGUGCCUUGGUUUCCUUGUGUUUUCUCAUCUCUUCUACAUCGCUGAAGAAGUGGAUGGAUUUUUUUCACAUCACUACGGUGGAAUCUCUCCACCUCCACGUCGCUGCAGCAUCAGCAGCUGAACUCUCCGAGUCCUGUUUGCCUGUUGGCUGAAAAGCUGCAGCCAGGGUUCAAAGAAAGCAGUCAUCUGGAAUAUGUGGUGUGGAGUGGAUCUUGUUGUUUGCGUGUCUCUGUGAAAAGAAACGACUGACUGACAUCCACAAGAGGAUGAUGAUGGACAAAGAGGAGAACAGAGCAGAGUCCGGUGAACCUAGACCAACGAGGUCAGAGAACUGAAGUCACUGAGUUAACAGUAAUAAUUCUAAACUGACAUUAUAAUUAGUGUUGAGUGUGGUUGAUUUUGACUGGGU